rnacentral:rRNA from 1 species
UUGAAGAGUUUGAUCAUGGCUCAGAUUGAACGCUGGCGGCAGGCCUAACACAUGCAAGUCGAGCGGUAGCACAGAGAGCUUGCUCUCGGGUGACGAGCGGCGGACGGGUGAGUAAUGUCUGGGAAACUGCCUGAUGGAGGGGGAUAACUACUGGAAACGGUAGCUAAUACCGCAUAACGUCGCAAGACCAAAGUGGGGGACCUUCGGGCCUCAUGCCAUCAGAUGUGCCCAGAUGGGAUUAGCUAGUAGGUGGGGUAACGGCUCACCUAGGCGACGAUCCCUAGCUGGUCUGAGAGGAUGACCAGCCACACUGGAACUGAGACACGGUCCAGACUCCUACGGGAGGCAGCAGUGGGGAAUAUUGCACAAUGGGCGCAAGCCUGAUGCAGCCAUGCCGCGUGUGUGAAGAAGGCCUUCGGGUUGUAAAGCACUUUCAGCGGGGAGGAAGGCGUUAAGGUUAAUAACCUUGGCGAUUGACGUUACCCGCAGAAGAAGCACCGGCUAACUCCGUGCCAGCAGCCGCGGUAAUACGGAGGGUGCAAGCGUUAAUCGGAAUUACUGGGCGUAAAGCGCACGCAGGCGGUCUGUCAAGUCGGAUGUGAAAUCCCCGGGCUCAACCUGGGAACUGCAUUCGAAACUGGCAGGCUAGAGUCUUGUAGAGGGGGGUAGAAUUCCAGGUGUAGCGGUGAAAUGCGUAGAGAUCUGGAGGAAUACCGGUGGCGAAGGCGGCCCCCUGGACAAAGACUGACGCUCAGGUGCGAAAGCGUGGGGAGCAAACAGGAUUAGAUACCCUGGUAGUCCACGCCGUAAACGAUGUCGAUUUGGAGGUUGUGCCCUUGAGGCGUGGCUUCCGGAGCUAACGCGUUAAAUCGACCGCCUGGGGAGUACGGCCGCAAGGUUAAAACUCAAAUGAAUUGACGGGGGCCCGCACAAGCGGUGGAGCAUGUGGUUUAAUUCGAUGCAACGCGAAGAACCUUACCUGGUCUUGACAUCCACAGAACUUUCCAGAGAUGGAUUGGUGCCUUCGGGAACUGUGAGACAGGUGCUGCAUGGCUGUCGUCAGCUCGUGUUGUGAAAUGUUGGGUUAAGUCCCGCAACGAGCGCAACCCUUAUCCUUUGUUGCCAGCGGUUAGGCCGGGAACUCAAAGGAGACUGCCAGUGAUAAACUGGAGGAAGGUGGGGAUGACGUCAAGUCAUCAUGGCCCUUACGACCGGGCUACACGUGCUACAAUGGCAUAUACAAAGAGAAGCGACCUCGCGAGAGCAAGCGGACCUCAUAAAGUAUGUCGUAGUCCGGAUUGGAGUCUGCAACUCGACUCCAUGAAGUCGGAAUCGCUAGUAAUCGUAGAUCAGAAUGCUACGGUGAAUACGUUCCCGGGCCUUGUACACACCGCCCGUCACACCAUGGGAGUGGGUUGCAAAAGAAGUAGGUAGCUUAACCUUCGGGAGGGCGCUUACCACUUUGUGAUUCAUGACUGGGGUGAAGUCGUAACAAGGUAACCGUAGGGGAACCUGCGGUUGGAUCACCUCCUU